CAUGAGUUGUAGUGACAGAAAUUUAUCUUCUCCAACCAAUUCCAGGCAAGAUUCAUUUGUCCAACACCAACAAAAUUGCCUCAAUCCCUCUGUUCCCUUCAAUUAAUCAAGCUUGGAUGUUCCUUUUUCCUGGAAAUGGAAUAUCAAACGAAAGACAGAGAGAGAGAUGCAAUUCCAACACCUUUGAGAGACAAACUAGGUCCCACUGCCUUCUUUAAUCAUCAAAGAACUUAUCCCAAC
rnacentral:misc_RNA from 1 species